GGGGUUGUAGCUUAGUGGUAGAGCACUUGCCUAGCAUGUAUGAGGUACUGGGUUAAAUUCUUAGCACCA
rnacentral:tRNA from 1 species